rnacentral:rRNA from 1 species
GAUUGAAGUCAGUCGUACCGACGAGAAAUCAACUUAUCGUGUGCGAACUUGUGGGCGUGCGUGAGUUUCGGCCUCGCUGUUUGCAUGUUUGUGCGUUUUGGGUGUACUUUUUCGUAUGGUAGGCCAACGUCAGUUUCGAUUAUCAUAAAAUGACCGGCGGAAUGUAGCUUCGACUUCGGUUGAAGUGUUAUAGCCUCUGGUAGAUGUGGUGAUUGGGACUGAGGAUUGCAACGAAUACCCUUUGGGCUAUCCGUCUGGCCUCUGAAAGUUGCUCAGGUGCCGAAAGCGUGCUUACGGUCAUCUAAGAUAAC